GAUGAAGAACGUAGCGAAAUGCGAUAAGUAAUGUGAAUUGCAGAAUUCCGUGAAUCAUCGAAUCUUUGAACGCACAUUGCGCCCCCUGGUAUUCCGGGGGGCAUGCCUGUCCGAGCGUCAUUGCAACCUUCAAGCGCGGCUUGUGUGUUGGGUCUCGACCCCCGUGGACGGGCCCGAAAGGCAGUGGCGGCGUCCCGACAUGGUGCCCGAGCGUAUGGGAAUCCUCUUCCGCUCGAAUCGGCCCAUGCGGCGCUGGUCGUAACCAAAUUUUUUACCGGUUGACCUCGGAUCAGGUAGGGAUACCCGCUGAACUUAAGCAUAUCAAUAAGCGGAGGA
rnacentral:misc_RNA from 1 species